rnacentral:lncRNA from 1 species
CGUCCCAGAUCUCUCUUCCCAGCCUCCUCCUCAAAACCAUCGAUCUAUUUUGUUAAGAGCAUAUCUCUUCCCAGCCUCUUCCUCAAAACCAUCGAUCUCAAAACCAUUGGUUUCUAUAGAAAUCGAUCUCUCAAGAGGAUUCAAAACCCAAUUCGGUCGCUCCUCCACCACACGCCCCAAACCCAAAGCAAACCAUCUAUCGAUCUCUCAAGAGGAUUCAAAACCCAACUUCGUCACUCCUCCUCCACACGCC